rnacentral:rRNA from 1 species
GGAUUAGAUACCCUGGUAGUCUACGCUGUAAACGAUGAAUGCUAGGUAUCGGGUCUUAAUGAUUCGGUUCCGUAGUUAACACGUUAAGCAUUCCGCCUGGAGAUUACGGUCGCAAGACUAAAACUUAAAGGAAUUGACGGGGGCCCGCACAAGCGGUGGAGCAUGCGGUUUAAUUCGAUACUACGCGAAGAACCUUACCAACUCUUGACAUGGUAGUCGUCGGUACAGAGAUGUACUUUCAGUUCGGCUGGACUAUCACAGGUGUUGCAUGGCUGUCGUCAGCUCGUGCCG